CGAGGGUGCAAGCGUUAAUCGGAAUUACUGGGCGUAAAGCGAGUGUAGGCGGCUACUUAAGUCGGAUGUGAAAUCCCCGGGCUCAACCUGGGAAUUGCAUUCGAUACUGGGUAGCUAGAGUUUGGUAGAGGUAAGUGGAAUUCCGGGUGUAGCGGUGAAAUGCGUAGAUAUCCGGAGGAACAUCAGUGGCGAAGGCGGCUUACUGGACCAAAACUGACGCUGAGGCUCGAAAGCGUGGGGAGCAAACAGGAUUAGAUACCCCAGUAGUCC
rnacentral:rRNA from 1 species